rnacentral:lncRNA from 1 species
GGGUAUUGCUUUGUGGGUGGUUUUUUUCUUCCGCUGAGAAAGAGAAAUGAAAGUCAUCCAACCCAUGGAAAUCAGUGGCUCAAUCCUUUUAAUGGAUCGAGGCCAUCAAGCUACAGAUGAUCUUACAAAUGGAACUCCAAAUGAGCUCAACGAACAACUCUUACCGAGGACCCCUGGAUCGACCCACUGUCCAUUUGGCUGGUCUAGAGAGUUCCCCUCUUAAGGACACAACCACUGCAGGGCCCCUUCUUCACCCCUAUCCAGCAGGAAGUAGCUAGAGUGGUCAUCACCCAAUUCCCAACAGCAGUUGGGGUGUCCUGUUUAGAGGGGGCAUUGAGAGGUGAAGCCAACUGGACUUCUGGUUCAGGUGGGGACUUGGAGAACUUUUCUGUAUAGCUAAAGGAUUGCAAACGCACCAAUCAGCACUUUGUAAAAAAUGCACCAAUCAGCACUCUGUAAAAUGGAUGAAUCAGCAGGACAUGGGUGGGGCCAAAUAAGGGAAUAAAAGCUGGCCACCCCAGCCAGUAGCGGCAACCCUGUUGGGUCCCCUUCCAUGCUGUGGAAGCUUUGUUCUUUCGCUCUUCACAAGAAAUCUUGCUGGGUCCACACUACCUUUAUGAGCUGUAACACUCACUGUGAAGGUCUACAGCUUCACUCCUAAAGUCAGCGAGACCACGAACCCACCGGGAGGAACAAACAACUCCGGACGUGCCACCUUUAAAAGCUGUAACAUUCACUGCGAAGGUCUGUGGCUUCACUCCUGAAGUCAGCAAGACCAUGAACCCACCAGAAGGAAGAAACUCCAGACACAUCUGAACAUCUGAAGGAACAAACUCUGAACCUACCAUCUUUAAGAACUGUAACACUCACCGUGAGGGUCCAUGACUUCAUUCUUGAAGUCAGCGAGACCAAGAUCCCACCGGAAGGAAUAAAUUCUGGACACAUUGUGGCAACCCAGAUGGGACACACUUCUAGUUAUUAAGAAACUUCAAAACAGUAGUCAACGUUUUCCCAAGAACAUUUCUUUAACUUCAUCAAUCUAAUUAAAACACAUUUUCCCCCAAAUGCGACACCACUUUUGGGGUUAUAUUUAAAAGUAGAAUCUCAUUAUCCUCAUUUAUAAAAUGUAUCUGUCCAAAGAAGGUAAAAUUUUCUCUCUCCUCUUCAUCCUGGCACAUUUCUCAUUUUUUUUUUAACUCUCAGUCAAUAGUUUUUCC